rnacentral:rRNA from 1 species
GAUGAACGCUGGCGGCGUGCUUAACACAUGCAAGUCGAACGGAAAGGCCCAAGCUUGCUUGGGUACUCGAGUGGCGAACGGGUGAGUAACACGUGGGUGAUCUGCCCUGCACUUCGGGAUAAGCCUGGGAAACUGGGUCUAAUACCGGAUAGGACGAUGGUUUGGAUGCCAUUGUGGAAAGUUUUUUCGGUGUGGGAUGAGCUCGCGGCCUAUCAGCUUGUUGGUGGGGUAAUGGCCUACCAAGGCGUCGACGGGUAGCCGGCCUGAGGGGGUGUACGGCCACAUUGGGACUGAGAUACGGCCCAGACUCCUGCGGGAGGCAGCAGUGGGGAAUAUUGCACAAUGGGCGCAAGCCUGAUGCAGCGACGCCGCGUGGGGGAUGACGGCCUUCGGGUUGUAAACUCCUUUCGCUAGGGACGAAGCGUUUUUGUGACGGUACCUGGAGAAGAAGCACCGGCUAACUACGUG